AAAUUCCAACCCCGGAAAGGCCCAGCCAGCCACCGGGAAUCGAGUCUUGAGUUGUGGAAAGCAAUGACCAUAACUAAGCGUAGACAGAGCGAACGACAGACCGUAACGAAAGUGAAGCCAUCGAGCCCCGUUAAACCCGUAAAGUGGAUGCCGACCGGCUCUUUGGACUGGGAAGGCAACAGUAGAUGCGGGACAAAGGCGACUGCAUCGGAGAAUCCAUCGGGGUCCAAGAGCA
rnacentral:ncRNA from 1 species